GUGAGUAUUCGGAUUCAAAGCUACCAAAUGAAGAAAGGCUAAAUUACUGCCAAUUCAUUGAGCCUCUCCUGGCCCAUAGUGGACCUAAGCCACGUAUGAAGUCGGCGUAGAGCACUAAAGGACCGCUCACAGCUGCAACUGCUGACAGGGAUAGUCAGUGCCACCUGCAAGAUGGCCCUCAGUGACGGGAACAUCAUAGAGUCCAGGAGCUUGAAGACACUGAGGGUGUCCGGGAUGGAAUCUGGAUCCUUCCUGCUCAGGAAGCUCUUUGCCACCAAGACCUCUUCUGGGACCAGCUGUAUGUGGUAGUGUGUAGCCAGUUUCUCCAGUGACUGCAGACAGAGGAAGGAUUUGGAGGCUGGGUGGCAUGCCUGGAUUCCAUCCAUUAGCUCUCCCGCAACAGUGGAAAACCGGUGGCCCAGUUCAUUGAUCAUCCGAUCAAUGCACGGGAAGAAAAGCCCCUGCUUCAGACACUCUGAGUCGUUAAGCAGGUCAGAGCCCGACCCAGUAGACGCCUCCACAACAAAAUCAUCCAUUCUCCUCUGCUUUCUCCUUGGAGCAGGAGAGGGCUCGGGAAGGUUGUGAUCAGAGCAGAGCUGCUUUGUGACCUCAUAGAGUUCCUCAGCCACCUGUUCAGUUCUUUGACUGACCAAGGUGUCGUGGAUGGCACUCUUGAAUUGGACUGCCCUUGCAAGGUCAAUGGAUGUCCCCUGCAGGAACCUGUGGAAACCCUCUGUGAUACCCAAAAGCCUUUGGAUAACCACCAGUAAAUAUACUGUUGUCCUCUUUGACAAUUUAGAGAGAAGCCCCACUGCUAUUGGUGUAUUCAGCAUCUGCAGACUAGCAAUUACUGCAGGGAAAUUCCUCAAAAGGGCAUUUAUUGAGUUGACCUGGCAUGACCAUCGCGUUGAGGAUAUCUGGACCAGUUCACGCCGCUCAAUGUUCAGCUCUUUCUGCACAGCCACCAACUGAUCAUGGCUUUUGAUCGAGGUGCUGAAACAGGAAUACAGGCUUUCCAGCAUGUCAAAAAAAAAGCUUGCUUCCGGAAUAGCCUUGCAAGUAUGACAGAGCACCAAGUUCAGCUCAUGUGCAUAGCAGUGCACGUAGAUGGCCUCAGGGUGUUUUUCACGGAAACGAGUUUGCACGCCUCGCACUGACCCGCUCAUCACCGCUGCGCCAUCAUAUGACUGGGCAACAACUUUGAGACCGUCGAUGCCAUGUGAUCCCAGGACCUCCUCAAGGGCAUUUGUUAUGCUCUCCGCGUCAUACCCUCCCAGUCUUCUCAAACAAAGGAAUCGCUCCCUUAUGCGUUCCUGAAAGACGUAACGGACACAAACAGCAAGCUGCUCAGUGUUUCCAUCCUUGGCCUCAUCAGCCAUGAUGGAAAACAUUUUAGCUUCCCUCACCUCAUCCCUUAUCCUUGAUGUGAGCAGUGACGAGGAACACUUAAUGAAGUCAUUUUGGGAGGAAGGUGAAAGAUAGGUGGCAUUAGCAGGAGCAUUAUACUGUUGCAGGAAGGGAUCAAAUUUGGACAACAGCUGAACGCAUUCAAGUAAGUUUCCUUGGUUGGAGCUGCCCUCACCCUCGCAGUGCCCCCUGAAUGCAAUGCCUUGCUUGGCCAAGAAGAGCAUCACAGAAACAACGCGAUGGAGAUACAGUCUUCUUUCUUUGAUCUCCGCUGCACUAGCAGCAAGUAUUUGCUCGGUUACAUCCCCAUGGACCUUGGUUGCCUUUUAACCUAUCCAGGCCAUCAUGGAAGCCUUGUGAAGAGCCGUCUUCUCAUGUUCCCUAAAAGAAUCAAGAGCCCUCUUCCAAUUACAAUAGCCAGUGGUGGCCAGGCCAUCUUUAUUUGACCUCUUCUCCGGUUUGCUGAACACCCGACAGCAAAAACAUAAGGCAGCAUUUUUGGCUACAGAAUAUUCAAGCCAGUUGAAUGAUUCGUACCAGAUCUUUUGGAAUGACCUCUUCUGGAGUCCAAAAUAGGUAGAUGGGAAGUUGAUGUCUUUCACCUGCUUCGGACCUGUGUCUGGACUUCCUAAUGUGCCCUCUCCUGUCCUUCCCUCAUCACUCCUCUCUGGCUCAUCUGUGAUGCAACAAAAUUAAGAAGCAAACUGACACUCGGACAGUCUAUGCUGUGAUAGUAGCACUUCUAAAGGUAGAGGAGCCAUGUCAGGUAACCUUUUGACCCAGAAAAUAUACACAACUAGCUGUGCAAAAUAGACAUUUUGGUGAGGAUCUCGGAGGUGACCAUGUGAGAACAAAAAAAAUGACGACAGGUCCAACAAACAGGAUUUUAGGACCAAGACAGUCAAUGGUGCCUCGUCUUUGAACCAUGACGGUCAACAUGACACUGUUGGCCGCUUGAGGACAACACUCCCCGUAACUGAAAAUGUACAAAGUUAACUACAGCCGCCCUUCCUGGGUAAUGCCACCACCAAUCCCUGGUCAUCCAUUGAAGCCAUCUCUCUCACUCUGUACAGUCACACUGUUUCUCUUAGGUAAAAUCAAACCAGUGGGAUGUUAGAUUGAAAACCUCCAAAGCAAU
ensembl:lncRNA